rnacentral:rRNA from 1 species
AUUGAACGCUGGCGGCAGGCUUAACACAUGCAAGUCGAACGGUAGCAGGAGAAAGCUUGCUUUCUUGCUGACGAGUGGCGGACGGGUGAGUAAUGCUUGGGAAUCUGGCUUAUGGAGGGGGAUAACUACGGGAAACUGUAGCUAAUACCGCGUAGAAUCGGAAGAUGAAAGUGCGGGACCGCAAGGCCGCAUGCCAUGAGAUGAGCCCAAGUGGGAUUAGGUAGUUGGUGGGGUAAAGGCCUACCAAGCCUGCGAUCUCUAGCUGGUCUGAGAGGAUGGCCAGCCACACUGGAACUGAGAGACGGUCCAGACUCCUACGGGAGGCAGCAGUGGGGAAUAUUGCGCAAUGGGGGGAACCCUGACGCAGCCAUGCCGCGUGAAUGAAGAAGGCCUUCGGGUUGUAAAGUUCUUUCGGUAUUGAGGAAGGAGUGUAUGUUAAUAGCAUGCAUUAUUGACGUUAAAUACAGAAGAAGCACCGGCUAACUCCGUGCCAGCAGCCGCGGUAAUACGGAGGGUGCGAGCGUUAAUCGGAAUAACUGGGCGUAAAGGGCACGCAGGCGGUUAUUUAAGUGAGGUGUGAAAGCCCCGGGCUUAACCUGGGAAUUGCAUUUCAGACUGGGUAACUAGAGUACUUUAGGGAGGGGUAGAAUUCCACGUGUAGCGGUGAAAUGCGUAGAGAUGUGGAGGAAUACCGAAGGCGAAGGCAGCCCCUUGGGAAUGUACUGACGCUCAUGUGCGAAAGCGUGGGGAGCAAACAGG